ensembl:lncRNA
UCUGGUCACGUGUAAUGUAGCUACUGAAUGGAACAUCUGGUCAACAUGUAAUGUAGUCUACUGAAGGGAACGUCUGGUCAACAUGUAGUCUACUGAAUGGAAUGUCUGGUCAACAUCUAAUAAUUGUAGUCUACAUGGAAUUGUCGUCAACAUGUAGUCUACUGAAUGGAAUGUCUGGUCAACAUGUUACCUACUGAAUGGAACGCUGUUCAACAGUAAUGUAUCUACUGAAUAGAACGUCUGGUCAACAUGUAGUCUACUGAAUGGAACUUCUGGUCAACAUGUAAUAUAGUCUACUGAAUGGAACAUCUGGUCAACAUGUAAUGUAGUCUACUGAAUGGAAAGUCUGGUCAACAUGUAGUGACUGAAUGGAACGUCUGGUCAACAUGUAUGUGUCUACUGAAUGGAACAGCUCGGAUCAACAUGUAAUGUGUCUACUGAAUGGAACGUCUGGUCAACAUGUAAGUUAGGUCUACUGAAUGGAACGUCUGGUCAACAUGUAGUGUACUGAAUGGAACGUCUGGUCAACAUGUAGUCUACUGAAUGGAACGUCUGGUCAACAUGUAGUCUACUGAAUGGAACGUCUGGUCACCAUGUAGUCUACUGAAUGGAAUGUUCCAUAUUUAAAUUGUUCUCUUUGAUUCGUAAUUACAAUGUUUCCACACUUUCGGAAUAUAAAAUUAAAUGAUUUGGUACAUAAAAAUAGGACACUUUGACAAAAUUGUCUCUGUGUUGUUUGUGCGUUGAUAGAACUGGACAAASUGAGUGGUCAUUUACAGCUGCUGUCAGUCCUGCCGGUGGCCAAACGCUCCUCUCUGCUCCAGCUCCUCAAGACAACCAUGGAGGACAGAGAUGCAGUCAGUGUGCUGGAGAGUGUGCUGGAUCAGAUGUGUGAAGGUGAGACUCCUGACCUGGGUGACCUGGAAGAGUCUGAGAGGGAAACAGUCCAGGCCAUACUGGAUCUUGUAGACCAAUGUGUUGGGAAGGAUGAGGACGAGAUCAMAUCCUCACUUCUCAGUGCCGUCCACCUCAUUGUCAGUGCCAUGGACGGUGAGAUAGAGAGCAGUUUUCACAGGAUUCUCCAGUUAUCAUUUGAUCAGUUCCUGGGAAACUAGGUUCACUACUGUGGUUUUAUGUGUGUAUAUUUAUAUCUUCAGGAAUGACAGAUGAAGGUCUCUCUGUGUUGGGAUCCUGUUGCAGUUUUCCACUCUUACAGGCCCUGCAGAUCCUGGUGAGUUCARACCUGCUUGAUUGAGCCUCCAGUCCUGUAUGACCUGGAGUUCAUUUUUCUAGGUUUUUGUUUAUGUAAAUGUGUUUGGGUUUAUGUAAAUGUAUUUMGGUUUAUGUAAAUGUAUUUUGGUUUAUGUAAAUGUGUCUUCCCAUGUUAAAUAAACUAAUAUUUCUACCAUUAUGAUAACAUUGUACCACCAGUAGCAGUACUGACACCAAUGACGGUAACCAGUGGCGAUUUUUAACAAAAAUAUUGGUGGGCAAACUCAAUGAAAAAAGUGAAUACGCAUCGAUACAUUACUACACUAAACAUUGAAUGCACCAUCAUAAAUAACUACCAAUCCCAAAAAUUAGUUUUGAGCCACACACAAAAAAAGUUAUAGCAUAGCAUGGAACCCAAACCGGCUGCGCGCAUGCGCCAUCGUGCAUAAAUGUCUUUUUGUCUCUCCACACCAAACGCGAUCAUGACACGCAGGUUAAGAUAUCAAAACAAACUCUGAACCAAUUACAUUAUUUUGGGGACAGGUCGAAAAGCAUUAAACAUUUAUGACAAUUUAGCUAGCUAGCUUGCACGUGCUAGUUAAUUUGUCCUAUUUUGCUAGCUUGCUGUUGCUAGCUAAUUUGUACUGGGAUAUAAACAUUGAGUUGUUAUUUUACCUGAAAUGCACAAGGUCCUUUAUUCCGACAAUUAAUCCUCAAUAAAAUGGUCAACCGAAUKGUUUCUAGUCAUCUCACCUCCUUCUAGGCCUUUUCUUCUCUUGACUUUAUAUUGCGAUUGGCAACUUUCAUAAAUUAGGUCCAUUACCGCCACUGACCUCGUUCGUCUUUCAGUCACCCACGUGGGUAUAACCAAUGUGGAGAUGGCACGUGGGUACCUGCUUCUAUAAACCAAUGAGGAGAUGGCACGUGGGUACCUGCUUCUAUAAACCAAUGAGGAGAAGAGAGAGGCAGGACUUGCAGCGCGAUCUGCAUCAGAAAUAGAACUGACUUCUGUUUUAGCCUUUGGCAACGCAGACGCGCGUUGGCGCGCGUGAGCAGUGUGGUUACAAUAAUUUAAUAAUAUAGAUUUCUAAAUGUAUUUUGCAACGCUCGCGCACGUGACGUGAGCGGUGUAGUCAGCUGAUUACAGGCUAACUACACCGCUUGCGUCACGUGCACGAGCGUUGCAAAUUAAAUUGGGUUCUGUGGGUUAUGACCAGUGUAUAGGCUACUGCCCAUAUCUUUGGCUCCUAUUGCAAGGAAGACCACGGUAGUCCAGUCUAUUUGACUUCAGAAUCAAUAUCAGCAUCGGUCUGCAAUAUUGCUAAUCACUGUUAGAGUGAUGGGACGCAGCAGAACACCAUUCUGAGUGCAGUUGCCUCUGCCUGUCUGUUAACAAGAUGCUCAGGUUAUGAAUUUAGCAACAAUGUUUAUAAAGCUACUCUCUGCCUCGCUUCAACCAUUGCAUAGAUACUCUUCCAUGGGUUUUUACAUUCUGACAUCAAUCAUUAACAACAACACGUACCUCAAACAGCAGCUGAUAGCCACUGCAAGUUCCAUCCAAACCACUCAUGUUUAAUUAUUUUCUAACUUGCUCUAUUUUAACUGAGGUCUGUUCAGUGGUUGAUGAGCACCAAUAUAUUUUAUCUCAACAAGUUUGAAAAUAAUUUGCUAGGAGAUUGUUGACAUGAUUCAUGAUGCCUUUUCAGCUAGCUAGCUAGAAGACGAUAAACAACUAUGGGCGGGCACUACUAAUGAAUCUCUAUAGCAGCACCCAAGUGGGCUACAGCUGACUGAGUCCCCAGGCUAGCCUCUCCAUAACAGAUCACUGAGGGAGGCUGAAACAGCUGCAUUAGGGAGCUGCCUUUCCUCAAAUCAAAUUGACCAAAAUAACAGUACAACAGGGAACAUGUACUGUGUGCUUUAUUAGCUCAAGCAAUUACAAAUCAAAUGUGUUUGAAUGAAAUCCAGAAUUACAUGCAGAACAGCGCCAUCUCCCAGAUAGUGGUGGGGCUGCCCUGAAUGUGUAUUGUAUCAAAGUAUAGGUCACAUCAAUUACACGUUUAUAAGUAAUUUAGGAGUUUCUUAAAUGGAGGCCACCGAUCUCAAAUCUAAGGUAAUUUAACCUUUAAAAGUAAUUUACUUAAUCAUUUACUAAAGAGAUUUGAUUAAUCAUUUUGCUCAGUGUAAUUUCCCUUUAUUUAAAUUGAGUAACACCAAUUACACAUUUUAUUUAAACACACCAAAUGAUCACUGGAAUCAUAACAUGUAUGACAUACUAAAAGGGUCUGAUUAGCUAACCAUUUUAUUUAAUAUAGACCCCUCUCCUGAUAACAGUUUGCCACUGGAAAGAAUGCUUAAGGUCCUUGUAUAUCUUUGUUAUGAGUGAUCUACAAGGCUGUAACACUAAUGAUAUGAAAUACAUUUGUUUAUUUUAUAGCAUUCAAAAUAAUAUAUCUCUAAAUCUCCAAAAUAACUCUACUCAUCAAUACUGGGACAAGCCUAUUUGCUUCUAAGUAUUUUAAACAAUGCAUACAAAAUAAGUUUUGCAGUAUAAAGGACUUUCAUUAAGUUUAAACAUUGAUAAACAGUUCAGUAUCAAUUAAAACAUGCAUCAUGUCUAACUAUUUGUCAUUUUAAAGUGUUUUUCAUUGUUGCAAAUUCUAGGGAUGCAGAUGCCACAUUAAUUCCUGUGCUGCUUGUCCUCCAGGUGCAGCAUCUGGCAGCAGGGAGUGGGGAGACCCUCUCUCUGAGAGAUGCAGGUCUGGCUGUUCUGACUGAGGAGGAGCUGUAUCAGAGGACAGAGAGUCUCUUUGGUCACUCUGAAGUUACACUGAAGAGAGAGGAGGACACACUGAGGACAGAGAUGAAGGACCAGCCUGGAUACCUUCCUCUAGUCAUGAGUAUCACUUGGAAAGGCUGGCCUCUUUAGUAGGAGGGAGGGAGAGGGGAGAGAGAGAGACCAUGCAACUUGUAAAUCCCAUUUGAACGGAUAACUCAGUAUUCCAUUCCAUGUCUUACUCCUGCACUAGUUGAGCCAAGAACUAGUGAACAACAGUGAAUAUCCUUGUAAUGUUUUCAGUAAAGUUCAACAAACGACAUCAGACGUCCUGACCUCCAUUUCUCUAGUCAUUAGAUAAUACAACAUAAAGUGGGACAUUAACAGAGGGGGGGGUAGUUUUAUUAGGAUCCCAUUAGAUAAUAACAAACAAAGUGGGACAUUACAGAGGGGGGAGAGGGAGGGAGGGAGGGAGGGAGGGGGGGGGUUUUGGGGGGAGGGGGGGGUAGGGGGAGUGGGGGAGAUCUCAUGACGAAGGGUUGUUCUUGUGGGUGGGGGAGUGGGGGGGGGG